AAUCUAAGUACCAGACUCACGAUAUCACCAUUUCUUUCUCUUCCUUUGGCAAUUGACUUCUACUUCUUGCUUCAACCAAGGAAACCAAUCAAAACUACAAAAUUUAUUGUCAACCAUCAUCACACUUCAACUCUUGUUCGUCUCUUCAAUAGUUCUAGAUUUUUCUUGUGGGUCUUUCAAAGAGUGAAUUUUUGGGGUUUAUUUUGGACGUUUUGGGACGAACUUCGGAUCGAAAGGGCGGUUUUCGAGUAUUUCUUGUGUGAUUUUUGUCUCCCAUAUUCAAAUUGCGGGUUCGUAGAGGAACCUUUCUGACUUGAGAUUGAGUUUUGUUAGCUGUGGUUGCUGAUAAGGGACUUGAAGAUAGUUAGCUCCAGUUGGGUUAAAGAGUGCGUUGGAUCCAUUUUGUUUUAGUAGGACUUUAAAAAAGACUUCCGCUGUUAUUUAUUUAUAGGAUUAUGUUCUGGUUUGUAAUAAUUAAUUUUACAUUCUAUUUAGUUGGUCUGUAAUAAUUAGUUAAACUUAUUGGUUAUUGUUUUAGUUAGAACCAUUAGCCUUGCGGUUAUUAUUAAUAAUUAUCGCGGCGUAGCACCUUUAGAUUUCUGAGUUCAUUUAUAUUAAGUUGAUUUUAGAA